UCUCGAAAUACAUAUUUAAAAUAUAAAUAUAUUCGCAAGCGACGGACUUAGUUACUAAGAGUAGCAUCCUACAAAUCUCCUCUAGGCUGAAGCGAACUCCACAAUAGCCCGUACACCACCACUCCCACAAGCCAUAUUCCAGCACGAGCAGGAUGGAUAUCGAAUCAGGCGUCGCCGCUGCAGAGUGCCACCGGGACCUCGGGCUCCUCGGUGAGCUGGUACACGUAUUGAUGCUGGCUAUCGUCGCCGGCGACCUCAUGCUACUGGUCAACGUUCCGUCAUCCAACAAUCCCCACCGCAUCGUUUGGGUGAGCUUCUUGACGAGUGUGGGGCUGUCGAUCGUCGUGAAGUCUGGCAACGCCGCGAAGAAGGCGUUGCUGAUCCCCCGUGCAGUCCUCGUCACUGCAGCUACCUUCCAUGUCAUCGCCGCACUCCCGGUUGCCUCCUUCUAAAUCAUCUCUACCUCCCAUCUGGAAGAACCACGGAGAUGUCUGGCCAUUCUGAGCCGCAAAAAGUCGUACAACGCAGUCGUCGUGCCCUCCUGUAAUUACAGUGUCUUAUGUCUAUUUCUCGUGCUGGUCCUCUCUCUGGAAUUGGAAGGAUGUGAUUUGAACGUUCUACAUGUGAGUAUGACGUACAACAUUUGGUUGCGGUUUUGUCAGGCUGCAAAUAUAAUGGUCAUUUGGUUAAGCACCCGUUAAUGGACAUCUGCUCCACAUUUUCCGACUUGUAAACGCGAUGAGCCUUUCCUCCGAAUCGAACGUAGUCAUGUAUUAUCCUUAUGACAGUAACGUUACCGCUGCCUGGAUGCAUUGUUUUACUGGUUUUAUCUGAUCCCAAUCCUUUGAUUUCUCUGGUGGAUGUGCAGCCACGUUUUAGUGGAUGAACGGGACCUCUGUGACCCUAAUCCUAAUCUUUUGCGGAUUCCUCAAAAACCUCUCUUGCAUACGACCGGCGCUCCUCGUUUUGCUUUCACCACGCCCAUAUCGUUCCAUUUCAUUGCUGUUGCCAUCCAUCCUUCGAUGCUCGCCCCUCCAAACAAAACGUGACCUUCUCAACGACGAACUGUUAUAUUUGCGUACAAACGAAAACAGAAGAUGCCUUAAUUUGCCGUCAGAAGUUGAUCUUUGUUUAACAUCAUAGAGAUCGAAGCAAAGAUGAAGAAGAAGAUGGUGGAUGGCGGCCCCUGUGGAGGCUGUUGGGAGACAGCAGCCAACGCGGUGGCCGUGGCGACGGCGCUACUGAUGAUCGCCGUGGCGUUGGAUUGCUUCGUGACCAGGCUGUGCCUGGGCGUGGGUGGCUCCCUUCACGUCAUCCCCCUCACGCACGACGCCGCCACGAAGAAGCCUGUUGUGGUGCUUGCCUUCCCUUGUGUGGUUCUCGCCGUCGCGUGCUUCGUCAAGGCGCAAGGUUUCACGCCGAGAGCUCGAGAUACCAGUAACGGCGGCCACGGGAACGGAAAGGUUGACGUCUGCUUUGGCUGAGAGUUGGCGGAAGGCAGCGAACGUCGUGUGGGCUGCCGCGUAGUCGAGUGCUGGCGCAGGAUUCAGCCGAGGCUUUGUUAGAGAGGCUUUGAAGACAAAAAUCUUGCACUAGUUUCGUUCCUGAUUUAUUAGGAGAUGAGAACUGCGGAAUUACAUUUAUUUCAAAGGGAUAUUUAUGAUUCCAAAAUGACGAAGGCUUCAUUAUGGUGUGAUGCAUGUAAUCAUCCGAAGCACAUCACAUAUAUUGAAUCGUUCUCCCACCACCCCAAGUAUAGAAAGAGAGAGGGAUUUUGAUCGACCAGGCCGGUGGACAAUCUUGCCGGCCCAUUAUUUGUACGACGUGGCUACAUCUGUUGUGACAGCAUCAAAUUAUUUGGUGUUCGAUACAUUCCAUUUAAUUUUAACAUAAUUAAGGUCA